rnacentral:rRNA from 1 species
UACAGAGGUCCCAAGCGUUGUUCGGAUUCAUUGGGCGUAAAGGGUGCGUAGGCGGCGCGGUAAGUCGGGUGUGAAAUCCCGGGGCUUAACCCCGGGACUGCAUUCCAUACUGCGGUGCUUGAGGACUGGAGAGGAGACUGGAAUUUACGGUGUAGCAGUGAAAUGCGUAGAGAUCGUAAGGAAGACCAGUGGCGAAGGCGGGUCUCUGGACAGUUCCUGACACUGAGGCACGAAGGCCAGGGGAGCAAACGGG